rfam:Salmo salar isolate Sally breed double haploid chromosome ssa14, whole genome shotgun sequence.
UGGCUCAGUUGGUAGAGCAUAGUGUUUGCAACGCCAGGGUUGUGGGUUCGAUUCCCAC